rnacentral:lncRNA from 1 species
AAAGAAGGUCUCAUUUCCACCGUUCCUUUUUGAACUCAGAUUCUUGAUGAUAUAGUCCAAAUUGGGCCUCCUCAAUCUUUAUAAGCCACCAUGAAAACCUGUUAAACCAUUUUCAAUGGUUAUUCUAUUUUUCUUUAAAAUAGGAUAACUAAAAAAGUUGAAUUUUACAACAAUAAUAUUUUAUUUUAAAGUAAAAAAUAGAGUGACAAACAAAAAAUAAAUGAAAUAUUCUUUUUUUUUAUAAAUGAAAUAAAUGAAAUGUUCUAUUAUAAUGUAAAUCCAAUUUUACUCUAUUAUAAAAUGAAAAAUGGAUUAGAACUAAAACUUUUUUACUAGCAAAACAUAAAAUGAGGUUAAAGAUGUUUUAGAGCAUCAUUAUCUAAAAAACGAAAUAUUAAUAUUUUAUUUAUUUUAAAUUAGUUAGCUGUGUGAAAAAUAUUACUUGGAUAUUCAGAGUAUUCGUGUGAGAAUUUACCACUGUACAUUCUCUAGAUAUAUCGUGACAUGUUUGUUAGAAUUUUAGAAUAUAUAUAAAAAAUGAAAUCAAAUGUUUGUAAGUCUUUUUAUAUCCACAUUUAUCCUAAUAUAUAUAUAUACAAAGAUUAGAAACAUUUGGUACCGUGUAUAUACAAAGACUAGAAUAAUUAUUUUCCUGUUGAGCUAGCAGCCUAGCACUAUCGUUUGUAUUUAAAAAUACCUUUUGUACCUUGACCUCUUAAUAAUACUAAAGAAAUUCUCAAAAAAUAUUUUAUAAUUUGGAUUUAAAAACUAAAAAAUAUAUAAGAUAUACGUACUAAUCGUCAAAAUCAAAUAAAUGGGAGUCUAGUUUAGCAAAGAAGGAAAAGCCAGAUCACAGAGCUCUACAGUGUUCUCCCAGACAUCCACCGUCUCUCGUCUCGCUUUGUUUCGAUUGACUUCCGUCUCAUCCCUCGUUCACAGAACAGGGUCGCAGACAUCCUAACUAAACAAGUCCUUAAAGCCCAGUACACUUAUCUUCUGUUUUGUAACUUUAGCCCACAGAUUUGAACUCUGUUUUCGCUUUUUAUUAAAAAAUUCGUCGUUCAAAAAAAAGUUUAGCAAAGAAGGAAAAGGAAAAUAUUACAGGGAAGCAAACCUAACAUGCAAAUGCUUACAACUUUCCAUGAAUAUCGAACACUUUAUUGCGGAGGGGCUUGCGAACAUUAAUAUUAACCAUCAAUUAAUAUUAUAACUCAAAUAAUAAAAAUAACAAAUAUAUAUAGAGUAUGCAUCUCAAACCAUCACCAACCUUUUUCUUGCAAAACUACCAUUCAUUUUCCGUUUUCACAUGUUUAUGUCUCUUCCUUUCUUAGAACAAUAGAUUUCAUUCAGUACGAUAUUCUUACACAUAGUUCUGAUUCCACUUUUCACAUAUGCAACUGAUCAUUUAAAAAUGAAGAGUCCAAAAUCAAGGGUAUGAGCGAGACAAAUCCUCUCAUACCCCUAUAUCUCAUAACACAAUUUCAAAAGGAUCCGUUUGUUCUUUUAAUUUUAUAUGUCAAACGAAAAAUCAUAAAAUUAAAAUGGAAACGUUAAUAUUUUUUAUUUGAUUUAUAGAAUUUGAUAAAAAUAUUUAAAAAAUCCAAAAACGUUUUUUCUAUAUUUUCAAAAAAAUCAUCAAAAUAUAAUUAAAAACGAUUUUAAAAUAUUUUUUUUUUAAUUUGAAAAAGUAUAGAAUUUAAAUAUUUGCCCAUGGGUUCACUAAUCCAUAGGGGGGGGUUAGGGUUUAGUUUUGAUGACCGGGAAGGAUUUAAUUUGGAAGUUUGGAUUAUGAUCAAAAAAAGAAUUAUGUAAUAGGGGUAUAAGAGACUCUAGAAACCCAUAGGAGAUUUGGCAUUUCAUAUUUGGAGGCACGCCAGAAGUUGGCUCGGUAUGAGCCCAUGUAACAAUAAUUAAGAUAAUUACUAGCUACACGAACAAUAUACCACCUGACUAUACUAACUAUAUAAAUUAUAUGUCAACAUCUCUCUCAACUACUAUGUGUUAUCUUACUAACAUUGUCAGCAUAACUUCGGUAGACAUAAAAGUGUAUUGGAUUUGUAACUCGAUAUUUUUCCAUAAUGCUUUAUAUAUUUAAUAUGUCAUCUCAUAUUUUUUAUGUAUAACGUUGCAUUUUUAAUGACUGAUCCAUAUGUUUUCAUUUUUUUGAUCAUUUGGAUAUGUCUUAUAUAUGUUUCGUUUCUCAAAGAAAUUUUUGUUGGGUGUGUCAUAUUCUAAAUCUGGCAUAUUUUUCUAAUAUAAAAAUUAUAUUUAUUGUAUUAAUAACAUAAAACAUAUUAGAUUAUGGAUAUUGUCAUGAUUCAUAUAGUUCGUAUAAUUUUUCAUACAUUACUUUUGUCUAGAUGUGUGAUGAUAUAGUAUAGUUUAAGCUUCUUCGAUACUCAACUUUGAGUUACAAAACAUUAACCUACAAUUAUAAACUCUAGUUAUCACUUUCAUUUUUCGACAUCGCAAGGGAGAUAAAGAACAAUAUGCCAUAUAGAUUAAAUCAUAUACUACUAAAAGUGAUAUAAAAUAAAAUUUUAAUAUUGUAAUUCAUAUAAUGACCUAAUAAUGGUACUAGAAUAAAAUAUUUAUGUAUAUAAAUAUCUAUAUAGAUAACUCUUGGGUUACAAUCAUUAAUUAAGGGCUAUAGUCUAGCAGUUUGUUUUUGUGGAAAAAACAUUGAAGUACACUUUGUCCUUAAAAUAUUACUUAAGCAGAUAUCAUAACUCUACUCAUUAUUACGGUGCCAAAAAAAAAUCAUUAUUACGGUGAAGCAAAUAUAAUUCCAAUCUAUAUAUAAGCAUCAAAUACUAUGCGUAAACCUACAUCUAGAUUCACACAUCGAAUAACUAAGAACAAUAUGUCAUUCAAAUAAAAUCAAACACUAGUUAUUGUUUCCAAUGAAUCAGACAUGAGAUAGUAAUUGUACGAUAAUAAGAUAUUUCGGUGGUAUAUAUAUAAUAUAGGUCGUCGAUCGAUUACAAAGUUACAAUCAUGGGGUCUUGCAUGCUCCAAGAACAGUAAAGUUACGGUCGUUUUCUAUCAAUAACUUAGAAACAUCGGAAUCAAUCGCCUAAGUCCAAUUUGUCUUUAAAUAGCCACAUUUUCAACCUCAAAACUAUAAUCAUUAUUAUUAUUUUCAUAUUACUUCUUGCGUUCAAACACUUAUAAACCUAAGCAUAGUAUAUAUAUAUAUAUAUAUAUAUAUAUAUAUAUAUAUAUAUAUAUAUAUAUUAUUUUAGAUAUGGCAAAGACCCUUCGUGUGAUUUACCUUUUCCUUAGUAUUCUCCUUUUCAGCGAAUUCAUCGGCGAGGCACAGGGUAGUUGUUUGAGGCGUCAUCAUCCACAGGAUUAUUCAUGCAAGAAACGUUCUAGCCAUCAUCAUCAUAAUCAUCAUCAUUAUCACAAGGAUAAUCCGAAUGAAUCAGAGAGUCUGCAACGAAGCAUCAAGACGAGGAGGGGCAAAGAUCUUUACCGUGUUGAUGCUUUCCGGCCCACCGCGCCAGGGCAUAGUCCCGGUGUUGGCCACUCGAUCAAGACUUGAGAAGUUUGAAGUUCUUAAUCUUGGUUUAUUA